rnacentral:rRNA from 1 species
CCUACGGGGGGCAGCAGUGAGGAAUAUUGGUCAAUGGGCGGAAGCCUGAACCAGCCAAGUAGCGUGCGGGAUGAAGGCCCUACGGGUCGUAAACCGCUUUUGCACGGGGAUAACACCCUCCACUUGUGGAGGUCUGCAGGUACCGUGCGAAUAAGGGCCGGCUAAUUCCGUGCCAGCAGCCGCGGUACUACGGAAGGGCCGAGCGGUAUCCGGAUUCAUUGGGGUUAAAGGGAGCGUAGGCGGGCGUUCAAUGCAGCUGUAAAAUCGCGCGGCUCACCCGGGCUCCGCAGUUGAAACUGGACGCCUUGAGUUCACAACAGGCAGGCGGAAUUCGUGGUGUAGCGGUGCAAUGCAGAGAGAUCACGAGGAACCCCGAUUGCGAAGGCAGCCUGCCGGGGUGCGACUGACGCUGAGGCUCGAAGGUGCGGGUAUCAAACAGGAUUAGAUACCCCUGUAGUC